rnacentral:rRNA from 1 species
UACAGAGGGUGCAAGCGUUGUUCGGAAUUAUUGGGCGUAAAGGGCGCGUAGGCGGUGCGGUAAGUCACCUGUGAAACCUCUGGGCUUAACUCAGAGCCUGCAGGCGAAACUGCCGUGCUUGAGUGUGGGAGAGGUGCGUGGAAUUCCCGGUGUAGCGGUGAAAUGCGCAGAUAUCGGGAGGAACACCAAUGGCGAAGGCAGCUCGCUGGGACGGUACUGACGCUGAGACGCGAAAGCGUGGGGAGCAAACAGG